rnacentral:rRNA from 1 species
CUUGCUACACCAUAGACUGUGAGUUGCGAACGGGUGAGUAACGCGUAGGUAACCUGCCUAUUAGAGGGGGAUAACUAUUGGAAACGAUAGCUAAUACCGCAUAACAGUAUGUAACACAUGUUAGAUGCUUGAAAGAUGCAAUUGCAUCGCUAGUAGAUGGACCUGCGUUGUAUUAGCUAGUAGGUAGGGUAAAGGCCUACCUAGGCAACGAUACAUAGCCGACCUGAGAGGGUGAUCGGCCACACUGGGACUGAGACACGGCCCAGACUCCUACGGGAGGCAGCAGUAGGGAAUCUUCGGCAAUGGGGGGAACCCUGACCGAGCAACGCCGCGUGAGUGAAGAAGGUUUUCGGAUCGUAAAGCUCUGUUGUUAAGGAAGAACGAGUGUGAGAAUGGAAAGUUCAUACUGUGACGGUACUUAACCAGAAAGGGACGGCUAACUACGUGCCAGCAGCCGCGGUAAUACGUAGGUCCCGAGCGUUGUCCGGAUUUAUUGGGCGUAAAGCGAGCGCAGGCGGUUAGAAAAGUCUGAAGUGAAAGGCAGUGGCUCAACCAUUGUAGGCUUUGGAAACUGUUUAACUUGAGUGCAGAAGGGGAGAGUGGAAUUCCAUGUGUAGCGGUGAAAUGCGUAGAUAUAUGGAGGAACACCGGUGGCGAAAGCGGCUCUCUGGUCUGUAACUGACGCUGAGGCUCGAAAGCGUGGGGAGCGAACAGGAUUAGAUACCCUGGUAGUCCACGCCGUAAACGAUGAGUGCUAGGUGUUAGGUCCUUUCCGGGACUUAGUGCCGU